rnacentral:rRNA from 1 species
CCUACGGGUGGCUGCAGUGGGGAAUUUUGCGCAAUGCUCGUAAGAGUGACGCAGCGACGCCGCGUGCAUGACGACGGCCUUCGGGUCGUAAAGUUCUUUCGACAGGGGAGAAAAUGCCUAUAAGUAACUGUGUCUUUAUUGACGGUACCUGUAUAAGCAGCCCCGGCUACCUCCGUGACAGCAGCCGCGGUAAUACGGAGGGGGCGAGCGUUGUUCGGAGUGACUGGGCGUACAGAGCUCGUAGGCGGUGUUGUAAGUCAUUAGUGAAAGACCAGGGCUCAACGUUAGUAAGGCUAGUGAUACUAUAAUACUAGAGUAUCAGAGAGGAUGGCAGAAUUCCUGGUGUAGCGGUGAAAUGCGUAGAUAUCAGGAGGAAUACCGUUAGCGAAGGCGGCAAUCUGGCUGGAAACUGACGCUGAGGUGCGAAAGCGUGGGUAGCAAACAGGAUUAGAUACCCGUGUAGUC